rnacentral:tRNA from 1 species
GCGGAUGUGGUGGAAUUGGUAUACACGCCAGUCUUAGGAACUGGUGCCGAAAGGCGUGGAGGUUCGAGUCCUCUCAUCCGCACCA